rnacentral:rRNA from 1 species
UUGGCGAACGGGUGAGUAACGCGUGAGUAACCUGCCCUGGAGUGGGGGACAACAGUUGGAAACGACUGCUAAUACCGCAUAAGCCCACGGCCCGGCAUCGGGCUGCGGGAAAAGGAUUUAUUCGCUUCAGGAUGGACUCGCGUCCAAUUAGCUAGUUGGUGAGGUAACGGCCCACCAAGGCAACGAUUGGUAGCCGGACUGAGAGGUUGAACGGCCACAUUGGGACUGAGACACGGCCCAG